AUGAACGCUGGCGGCGUGCCUAAUACAUGCCAGUCGAGCGAACAGACGAGGAGCUUGCUCCUCUGACGUUAGCGGCGGACGGGUGAGUAACACGUGGAUAACCUACCUAUAAGACUGGGAUAACUUCGGGAAACCGGAGCUAAUACCGGAUAAUAUAUUGAACCGCAUGGUUCAAUAGUGAAAGACGGUUUUGCUGUCACUUAUAGAUGGAUCCGCGCCGCAUUAGCUAGUUGGUAAGGUAACGGCUUACCAAGGCAACGAUGCGUAGCCGACCUGAGAGGGUGAUCGGCCACACUGGAACUGAGACACGGUCCAGACUCCUACGGGAGGCAGCAGUAGGGAAUCUUCCGCAAUGGGCGAAAGCCUGACGGAGCAACGCCGCGUGAGUGAUGAAGAUCUUCGGAUCGUAAAACUCUGUUAUUAGGGAAGAACAAAUGUGUAAGUAACUAUGCACGUCUUGACGGUACCUAAUCAGAAAGCCACGGCUAACUACGUG
rnacentral:rRNA from 1 species